rnacentral:rRNA from 2 species
GAGGGUGAUGCCUGCCCAAUGGUUGUAUCUAAAAGCGGUUGAUAAAAGUCGACCUUGUAAGGACAAUUGAAUGGCCGCGGUAACACUGACCGUGAUAAUGUAGCGUAAUCAAUAGCCAAUUAAUUGUUGGCCAGUAUGAAUGGCGCCACGAAGGCCCCACUGUCUUAAGGAAAUUCCCAGUGAAAUUGAAUUCGUAGUGAAGAUGCUACGUCCAAUUUGUUAGACGAAAAGACCCCGUUGAGCUUUACUGGAGCACUUAUAUGGCCCCGGCCUUCCCAUGCCUGGGAACCGGCCGAAUUUAAAUGGGCGGCUUAGAUUAUGUGGCAGCCCCCCGCUGGGGCAAAUGAAACACCACUCCCCCAUGUCAAAGGGGCUAACCCCCCCCUUGGGGGGGACAGUGUAAGUAGGACAGUUUGGUUGGGGCGACCGCCUUUUAAAAAGUAACGAAGGUGCGCUUAAGGUGUGCAAUUAAUGACUGAAGCCUGACUGCGAGGGGGGUACCCCGAGCAGACACCCCUAAGCCCGCCCGAAGGGCGGCGGUGGGGUGG